UUGAGAACAGUAACAGUCGUGCAGGAACUGAAGGUCUGCGACUGAAGAGAUGUCAGUCUGGGAAACGGGCGGCGGGAUUUCGCUGCCCGGGAGGAGGUUCCCUGUUCGCCACCUGCUGAGCUGCAUGCAAAGCUUGCAGAAUCAAGUGUUGGUUAUUCAAGAUGUUGUAUUCACUCAGAUUCACCAGCUUGUCAAAAUUCUCAUCUGAAUAUGCGAGGCAGAAAGUAGAGUAUGGAGUGUGGCAAGUGGAAACAUCAACAUCUCCUUCAGCCAUCUCAGCAUCACCACAACGUUCCACACCUAUGAUAGAGGCAGUACUUUAUUAUUAUUUUAAUAUCUGGGUCAUUUUACAAAAACAAAACUUUUUUUCUACUGAGAAAGUUCUUAGCAUUCAUUCAUGAUUAUUUAUAAAAUAAGAUAAAUCUA